rnacentral:rRNA from 1 species
UCGACGGUGAUCUCGGUGCUUGCACCGGGUGAUCAGUGGCGAACGGGUGAGUAACACGUGAGCAACCUGCCCCCGACCCUGGGAUAACCCCGAGAAAUCGGAGCUAAUACCGGAUACGAGACGCACAGGCAUCUGUAGCGUCUGGAAAGAUUCAUCGGUCAGGGAUGGGCUCGCGGCCUAUCAGCUAGUUGGUGAGGUAGUGGCUCACCAAGGCGGCGACGGGUAGCCGGCCUGAGAGGGCGACCGGCCACACUGGGACUGAGACACGGCCCAGACUCCUACGGGAGGCAGCAGUGGGGAAUAUUGCACAAUGGGCGCAAGCCUGAUGCAGCGACGCCGCGUGGGGGAUGAAGGCCUUCGGGUUGUAAACCCCUUUCAGCAGGGAAGAAGCGAAAGUGACGGUACCUGCAGAAGAAGCGCCGGCUAACUACGUGCCAGCAGCCGCGGUAAUACGUAGGGCGCAAGCGUUGUCCGGAUUUAUUGGGCGUAAAGAGCUCGUAGGCGGUUUGUCGCGUCUGCUGUGAAAACCCGAGGCUCAACCUCGGGCCUGCAGUGGGUACGGGCAGACUAGAGUGCGGUAGGGGAGACUGGAAUUCCUGGUGUAGCGGUGGAAUGCGCAGAUAUCAGGAGGAACACCGAUGGCGAAGGCAGGUCUCUGGGCCGCAACUGACGCUGAGGAGCGAAAGCAUGGGGAGCGAACAGGAUUAGAUACCCUGGUAGUCCAUGCCGUAAACGUUGGGCACUAGGUGUGGGGCUCAUUCCACGAGUUCCGUGCCGC